rnacentral:rRNA from 1 species
UACGUAGGGGGCAAGCGUUGUCCGGAAUCAUUUGGCGUAAAGCGCGUGUAGGCGGUUCGAUAAGUCUGCUGUGAAAGUCCAGGGCUCAACCCUGGGAUGCCGGUGGAUACUGGCGGGCUAGAGUGCGGAAGAGGCGAGUGGAAUUCCCGGUGUAGCGGUGAAAUGCGCAGAUAUCGGGAGGAACACCAAUUGCGAAGGCAGCUCGCUGGGACGUAACUGACGCUGAGACGCGAAAGCGUGGGGAGCAAACAGG